rnacentral:lncRNA from 1 species
ACCAAGUUCAUGCUACCAUGGAUUCCUGUCCCAGUUCCCUGUGAAAAGUAACCACGCGUCUCCUACCCCUGAAGGCAACGAAGACAAGGUGACGACUCUCCGCUCAUUCAGGUGGCUUUGGUCCCUGGCUGGCGGCCAAGGAUGGGCGGGGGCGGGGAGCCCCAACUCGCGGCUGCUCCCUUUCUCGCUGCUUCGUCCGUGCGUUCCUUGGUGGCAGUGGACAGGCAGGAUACCCGGCCGAAGGGUGGAGCAGCAGAUGGUCGGAGGCGACACAGACUCGGGAGGGGGAUGGGGGGAGAACUGGGAGAAGAGGAGGCGAAAGACAGCAGGGAUAAGGCCGUAAUUCAGGGGUUCUACCAGCUUGGGCAACCAGAAAGCGACUCGGAAGGAAGGGGCGUGACUGCUAUGAACUCAGCUCCAGGUCAAAGAAUGGGAGCUAGAGGAGGUGGACGAAUGGCUGGCUUUUCUUCUUGCUCCUAAAGAGUCCACGCAAGGAUUGUCUGAGAGAAAGGAAAGGAUUCUGCAAAGACUACAAUAAUAAUCUUCCAAAACGGCGGAACAAAGUCGCUUGGGAGAGCCAGUCUCCGCCCCACAGCGGGAGGUAAAAAAACAAAUAAUAGAAAUGCUGAAAAGAAGCUACUAUCAAAGCCUGCUUAGAAUCAUUUAGGAAGGAGCAGCGCUCCUCCCGUUUUCCUUCCCCUCGUUUCCUAUUACCAGCAGUUCCCCACCCAGGUUACAGCUUUGCGAAAGACCCUCCUUUCUUCCUUCGCUCCCCUUAGCGUCCCCCCUUCUUCCUCCUCCCCAUUCGUGUCCCUGCCCCCCCCCCCUCCCUUUUGCAGGCUGCGCAGGCGACAUAGAGUGGGGUGGGAGGGGAUCUGCGGAGUCUUAGCCUCUUGGGAGGGCUGGGAAGGCUGGCCAGGGCGGAGUGUACAGGAAAAGUAAGUCCCUCCCACAAAUCCUUUGCAGCUUCCCGUUGAGGGAGUCUGGCUUUGAAUUCGCCUGCUGUUGGUCAUUGGAGCCGUCAAUCCAAUCCUUUUCCAACCCAAUCCGUCCUCAGAAUUAAGAAAACUAAACAAGAGGCUAUUGUCUAGCUUUCUGUUCUCCUGCAUCUACUGCUGGAAAGAGAAAGAUGAGAUACCUGAUUUCUCAGUCUUGUAAAAGAGUGUCGGCUGAUUUGAGUACACUUCUAUGACACUGUCCAAUCCUUUGGGAAUACGUAACUUUUCCACCGUAAUUAAGCGAAGAGGAAAAAGUACGUGAAGUAUCAAUAUGUUCACAUUUCCUGGUUGCGAAAAAUUUAUACUGCUUAAGAACACGGAGAUUUGAGAACAGCAACCUGGGACACCGAAAAUCUCCCAUUUUAAGGCUGGGAAACACAAAGC